AAUGAGCUGUAUGCGCUUUGCCCACCAUGGGUAUCAAAACCAAAUUUUUGGCAUUAUAAGCCUUCAGAUUUAUUGCUGAGCAACCAGGGGUACAGUUGGUGAAUAACUUAAACUUCAGGUAUGACAGGAUAUGUUAUUUAUCUGGAUGAUGGAAAGUGAAGUUCGUAGCUUUUGAUACAGUGCCCCACAGAAGAUCAGUUAAAUAUUGUAUAAUGUUGCACACUCUCACAAUCAGAAACAGGAAAUGGAUCAUAUGAUCUCCAUAAGCAAAGUCUUAAAGCAAUUUUAGCAUGAACAAAAUUUGGUGUUUUUUAAGAUAAUCAUUCUGUCCACCUUAUUUUCAAGAUUUGGAUUAAGUACAUGAAACAGAUGAUCCUGUAACUUAUGCUAUGCUAGCUGGAGGGAAGAGUAGAAGAUGAACAUUUUCUAUGAUGAACACGAAGCAGUCCACAGGAAAUUCCUUUAUUAGAACCUGCCUUCACUGAACAAAUGUAUAUAUACAGGAUAAGGGAUUACAGAGUUCACUGAAUACUUCCUAAUUUGGUAGUGAAGUACUAAAAUAUCUAGUUGAGGAAACAAAUAAAUUGGCUUUUCACACAAA